GGGGCUGAUCGGUUUCGACUGUGGUCGUUCGACCUAGGAGAAGCGGGUAGAGAAGGCAACGUCAUCUCUUAAACGAUCGUUGCAAACCAAUAAGUGCCGAUUCCAAGCGCACUGACUUCGCCCUCGCUGCCUGACAGCGAUUGGUGAAGGGCAGACCCGGGAGCGUCCCCGUUCCGGAUCGUCUGUCUCAUCAAGGGGACUUGCUGAUCACUGCCUGCCGUAGGCGGUGAUCGGGACUCAAGUACGGCUGAGCCCGUCGGUGACGUGUUUGUCCGAGCACCGGGGCUGAGAAAACGACUACCGACAAACUGCACCCGGAGAAGACCUAGCUCAGCGCCAGAGGACCCGGGUUCGAUUCCCGGCAGCUCCACGA
rnacentral:tmRNA from 1 species